CACACACACACACACACACACACACACAUAUAUAUAUAUAUAUAGCAAAAGAAUGUUUACGAAUAUUCCCUGACUGUUAAAGUAUAAUAGGACGUAUGCCUGUAGGCGCCUCUUUUAGGCUUCGAGGAUUAACAUCGCUAAUUGUUAGUCUCAAAGGAUGCGAAAAAGCCACCGGUAAGCCGUUCCAGGGGGCAGUGUCCCGGAAAAUUAAGGAUUAGCAGUCAGUUCUGGAGAGAGAGAGAGAGAAAGAGUGUUCAGGGGCGGUUAUUACUUCAUGCCCACGUGAUGGGCGUAAUACGCUGCUGUAAAAUAUGCCUUCUUAGAACUCCCGUGCACAAAGGGUUUAGCCUUUAAGAGGCGCGGUGAAAUAUUGGCGACGCAAGACGCUUGGAAGUGAUCCAGUGUUUUAAAAUUCAAAGGGAGAAUAUUUCGCGCUCUUGCGAGCUCGACGCGCUUGCUUUUGAAUCCUUGACGUGUUACGUGAAAGCUCAGCUAAUAACAGUAUGACUUAUUUAUGCAGUUUUGUAGAUGGAAAAGAGCGCGUUGUUUAUUUUUUAUUUUUUUUUUUUUAAGAGGUCGUGUGGAAACGUCAUUUUGUCGUGCGAUCAUGAAUUUUUCUCGUCGCUAUCGACGAGUAUUGAAGCCCGAAUUUUCUGUGCUUUUAAGAUACGCCCGGAACAUUGUUUUAAAACACCGCGCUAUCAUUCUCAUGUUACUGUUUGCCUUUAGAUUUACAGAGAGGGAGAUUCUCGGAUUUAUACGAUAAGAAUACUCGUUCUUAUUCAUCUGCCUCCGAAAUAUCACGUUACGCUCAGUAUCAAGUUACGGUUUAUCAAGUUUUCAAACGCACAAAAAUAUUUAAAAGCUAGUAUCAAAUUGCAAGUUACUAAGUUAUCGUAAAAUAUUGACCUGCACGCUGUAAAUAGGGAAAGAAAAUUUAAUCUUGACGUAUAGGAUCAUAACGCGCUCAAUGAGACACGUGUAACGCGAUACUCGCGAAAACAGCAAUAAACAUCUUAGCCAUCUGUAAAUAUUUCCUCAAGAAAUAUCUUUUCAAAACGUUAUAGUUUAGAUGUAGACUAUAGGUAUACGAAAAUUUUGCGUUAAAUUUUGGCAGAUUAUUAUCUUUUCAUUUUUGCAAAAUACUUAUAUAGAGUUGAAAAUAACAAAUGGUAUUCGCCCUGGGAUUAAUAUAUGAUAUUCGAGUGUGAAACAUAACGUUAAGUUACGACAUGAGUAAAGUUUGCUCGGAGCGCAGUCUCGGAUUUUACGGGGACCGCUUUCACAAUGUGCCUGCAAAGUAAUUAAGAAUAUAUCAGCACGUUUAUGAAUCGUAGCAUGCCGCAUGAAUGGUCGAUAGCCGACAAGCCGAUAGAAUCAUUUCGUCGCCCUCACUCUGUCAGGCAUAUCCACACGCUCUCAUAUAUCAAACGAUACGUCAUGCGUUGCAAUUACUCGAACAAUAGCGCUUUCAAGACACGCGUUUCUCCAUCAAUUAGAGAACCGUUGAAGCUGCAAUAAUGUUUGUAACACCAGAAUUUAUUCGUGCGUUCUGUUGUAAAAAUUGCGCGAUUUUCAGAAAUAUUUUAAGAUGCCUCUACAAAAUCUGCAGUAAAAUAAUUCAUUGUUUUAAUGAUGCAUUUUAAUGAUAUUACAUACGAAACACGGAAAACUACUUUAAUCUGUGACUCUGCUCACGCUAAUUAGUAAUUCUUUUUUAAUUGAAAUCAGAGAGAUAAUUAAAUUAAACGAACUAAAAUAAAACGAUAAUACGACAGAUACAUUAUGAGUAAAAUAUUAAUUACUGUUCUUUUUUUUAUGAAUACGCGCGUCUUGUCAUUUCAAAUUAUUUAGUUUAUUUAAAAUUUAUUUAUUCUUAGAAUAGCAUUUCUUAAACUGAUUCAUUCUCGCCUGUAAAAUGAUAUUUAUUUUUUUCUUUGAAAAUACUUGAUGUCAAACGUUGAUAUGUAACGAAUCUCAUAAGUCCAUACGUAUUUAUAAUCAAAUCUUGCCCGAUAUUUAAGAUCGUCUUAAGUCUUAUCUCAACUGAUCUUAAGAUCCUAUCUAGAAUCUCGUGAGAUAACCAUCUCACGAUCGUGCUUAAGUACAAUCUGAUUACGAGCAACUUUAAUGUGAAAUCAACGAUUUCCAUUACAUUAUAUUCGUAUGUUAAACAUAUGCACGCACGAUCGAAGAUUACUUUCUCUCGAGUUAUUUCCCUUCGCUCCAUUUAUCGGAGCGUCUAUCACGUCAUCAUUCAAUUCGUGCCGAGUUGAUUCGCGAGGUUCAGAAAUGCAAAUUAAACGGGACAAGGAAAACACGACGAACGGGGGGGGGGGGAAUUAUCGCGCGUGUCAGAAGCCGCUGAACGGAAGAGACGCGAGUGCGGGAAUGAGUGCGGGCGGACGACGCGCGUCAAGGAUAAAAGUGCGAUGGACGAUAGAUCUUCAUUAGACUACGACGGUGCAUAAGUCACGCGACGGGGGGGCACGACUUUUAGCUACCCUUGUAAUUCUCCAGCACGUAUGUAAGCGCGCCUACGUACGGAAACAUGAUGAUGAUGAUGACCGCACGAUCGUCACGGAUAACUUGUUCGUCAUCAUACGUUACACAAUCCAAUCGUCAUGUAUUACAAAAUAUUUCGAAUUUAUUGUCAUUUACGAUUUUAAUUAUAAUAUUUAUUACGGAUGUAAUAUUUAGUUAAAUCUGCUACGGCAAAAUAAUGGAAAUAGGUGGAAGAGUAUUUGUGCAUAUAAAUGUAUAAAAAAUGGUGACUUUGAUAGAUAUUUAAUUAAUCGAGUCAAAUAUUUAACAUUAUUUUUUCUUUUUUAAAUUUAAUUUUCUAUAAAACACAGAUAUAAUUAGUCGAUUACGUAUCAUUGUUGAGAAAGAUGCUAUUGGAGAGUUGGGGAUGUAGCUCAGUGGUAGAGCGUUCGCUUUGCAUGUGAAAGGUCCCGGGUUCGAUCCCCGGCAUCUCCAAUCUUUUGUUGUUUAAAAAAAUUUUUUUUUUUUAACAUGAAUAUGUAAACGGUAAAAUAUAUUUUUGCAUUUUCUCAUUAAGUUUCCAACUUACUGUAUACCAUCUUUCUCAUUUAGCACAUAGUUUAAUAUUUUAAGGUGUGUGGAUUGAUAGAAAAUAUGAAAGAAUGUUUUUAAGCAACACCUUGCUUUUCUCUUGUUUUAUGUCUUUAUUAGAGAUGUGCGAAUCAAGAUUUUUCAACAAUAAAUUUGAAUCGAUCGUUGAAACAUUACUUUUAAUUAAAAAUGAUAUUUAUAUACAAUUAUAAUUGGAUACAAUAUGUAAAUAAUAAACGAUUUCUAUGUAUGAGAAAAAUUAUAUUGAUUGUGUUUAUUUUAAAUAUGAUUUUACACAAUUGUCAUAUACGAUAACUCAUAUUCAAAUAUUUCGUACAUCUCUAGUUUUUGUUAUAUGUAUGCUUGAUGUAAAAAACAAAUAUCUGACGUUCCCUUUUUUUCUCUAUUUUUUUUCUGAAAUGUGUGAGGUUAUUUAAUCAAGCUUCGGACGUGUGCGCAAACAAACACAAAACAAAUAUCAUUGCGUUGCAUCAUGAAUAAUCGUGCGUGCAAGACAGCGUGUUUCUCCCCAGUAUAUUUUCGUAGCUUGUGGUCAAUCAAAGCUUUUUUUUUUUAAGAAACCGUAUAACCGAGGUCCGUUAUGAGGUCCGUCUAUCUACCGUCCGGCUGUUUUACGUUUCGCGAAGCCGGAAAAUCGCCAAGUUCGCGGAGAGUUUGUUAAGGUUUCGGCGUUUAAUUUCACCACAAUGCCAGUCUGUCCGCAACCGAGGCUUUCCGUUUUUUUUUGCUCGUAGCGGAGCGCAAGAACGCGCACCUUGAGUAAAUUGGAACUCGCGUUUCUACGUUUUCCACAUAAAAAGAACGCACAUGGAGAAAACGUUAAAAUUAUCGUCGGGACGAUGUAUUACAGCGAGCACCGUACCGUAAGACAAACGCAAAUGAGUAACAAGCGGCAAUGGACCGCCGUUUAUUUUCUCGAAUACUUAUACGUGAAAAGAGUUAAAUGCCGCGAGCGGCGGAUUUAAUAACUCGAGCGGUUCGGUACCAUGAUGAAAAGCCUUUUGUCUCACAUGUACGUUCGAAAACGAGGCAAACGAGCAUGGGCAGAAGGAGACGGAGGAGAAAGAGAAGGAGGAGAAGGAAGAAAAGAGAAAUAGCCGGAAUAUCGAGGCUGCGAUAGAGUAAAAAGGGUAACUAGAAUAAAAGAGAGAAGGAAGGAGAGGGUGGAUUUGGUCGUCGAUUGAGCGUGCGUAACUCGCCCCGAUGGGCUUGUAGCAGGCUGCUCGCUUUCCCGGUCGCGUCCGAGUCGGUGGACGGUGAGGCGGAUGCAUUUACGGGGAGAGAAAAAAAAAGGGGGGGAAGAGAGAUGCACAUGACUGCGGGAUUGCAUUGACUGCAGCGGAAUAACACGGUUUCGAGAUCGCGUUCAUAAUCCACUCAUGCAGCAGGGAUGCCGGGGACUGCAUCCGGGCGACGCAGGCCCGCCCCGCACCACUCGUCGCAAGCUCAAGCUAUGCACUUCUGACCGUAGGAUACGUUUAUACGCUGAUGCAUUUAUUGCUGAUGCACCAAGGGAGGAAAUUGACAUCGGCGGCGUUCAUUGUCGCCGUACGACGACGUCGCGAGCUCUAGUGGCCGAGCCAAGGGGUUGACCAGUUGAGACGAGAGGUAAAGGGAGGCCGCGCCAUUCCUACAGCAUUACGUCAUAUAUCGAUUCUCUCUCGGGGAUUCCCACGGAGUCAACCCACCACCGGGAGCUCGUUGCACCGCAGGUAACUGCGCAGUUGUGCAGUUGUGCCGUACGCUGCGUAGUUCGCCGCGUAUUGCCUCUACAUGUAUGUGUGUGUGUCUGCCCGUGCUACCCUUUGAUCUAUUUUUUAUUCCAAUAUUAAAAUUUACAUUUAGGAGGGAAAAAUAUGAAACUAACAAUUAUAAUUAUAUUAUGAUCAGAAAAAAAUCAAUGAUAUAGAUUGCAAGCAGUGCCUCAUACUUUCCAGUCUUUCGUCGAAUAUUAUUUAUCAAUUUAUUCAUCAUAUAAUUAUUAACUUGUGAUCUAUUAUUUACCGUUCAAUGACAAUAUUGUAAUGCCGGAAUCUUCGUUCCGUUUGCGCAAAUCUGCGAUGUGUACAACGCGCGAGAUAAAAGGAUAAUUAAAAACUAACAAUGUGCCAACGCUCGCGCACGCAUUCGAUUUAACGCUGUUGUUUUACAUCGUAUCGUGCACAUAUGCACUCCAUGCAGAUAUCAGCGUGAUGGUAGUACCGUAACUGAGAAUGAUUUGAUUGAAUUUAACUUCCGGAGCGGACAAUCAAAAAAGCAAUUUCAACGCGCGUCAUUGCCGGGGUCGAAACUCGUCGGCGGGCGAAUUAAAAAAAAAAAGGAAGCAAUCGGGAACGUGUGGCGCGUCUCGCUUUGGGGGUAAUCACCGUCGCGUGUCUAAAAAUGAGACUGCCACGACUGAUUAAUCAUCGGCAAUCUCGCGCGAGAGAACGGCGAAAAGGACGCCGCGCCAUUAGCAGCAAAUGACGAAAACUCCGUCACCGGGUGUAUCCAUGCUGUGCUCGGGAAAACGCGUUAUUUUUUUCCUCCCUCUCUUCCGUUCGCCGUUUCUCUUUGCUCUCCUUCCGUCUCUCACCACCCGUACACAACCAUACAUACGGAGGAGGAGAUACCGCGGCGUGGUGUGCGGAGGGGGGUGAGUAAUUUAAUUGAAAUUCCCCUCUGUGAAAUUGUGGAAAAAUCGAGUCAUGCGAUCGCCGGAGCCUGCGCGAAAAUGAAAUUACAGGAGAAAACGAGGUUUGUCCGAUGAUGCAGGUGAACGCCGGUUUCAAGGGAGAUGGUCGGCGAUCGGGGAAGGACGAAGGCGAAGGGAGAUGGAAACAGAGGAAGUAUCUGCAUACGCGGGGGCCUAGCUAGCAAGCUAGCUAGCUAGCUAGCACUCGACGGCUUUGCCCCCGCGCGGGCAAAUUUUUCGAUUUUGAAUUUCCGGCGCAAAUUGGCCUUGCGAAAUUACCCUCAAUUACCGCGACGCGAGGGCUACCGCUUCGGUGAUGUGAGUGAGAGGCACUCCACCCGGCCUCGAGCUCGCGCGCGACUCCACUAGCUGGAAAAUAUCCUAUUUCGCGUGGGCCACUCGAACUUUUCGGCCGUGCGGAAACGCGAGGGUCACGCGCACCCGUAUCGCGUAUACGCGCAAAUUGCUCGGCAAAAAUCGAUCGAUAAUUCAGCCCGUAUUAAUCGUGUAUAGUUUCCCCGGAGCUCCCUGUGUCUCGGAGUCUCGAGCCGCGCGCGCCCCGAAAUAUCGCGCGCGUGGAAAUAUGCGCGCUCGCGUCGGACGAGCCACGAAAUACGAGAGCCUCGGAUUCCGCGAAUAGCUCCAUUCGUAAUGAAAUUGUUUUUAAUUAAGCCUGCGACUCAUAACGCGCGAGCGACGCUACACGUCGAGCUAGGAUAAUUUGAUGACGAGCUGAAAAGCAUCCCUUUCCUCCCCCCGCCCCAUUAACAUUUCCAUAUCUUGGAACUACUCGUUUCGUUCCACUCGGAUGCAUUAAAGAUGAACGUAUAAUUGUUCGUACGCGAAAUCGCGUGUCCUCGAAACGUGAAACAAAACCACGGCGGAUGAUCCGCCUCGCUUCACGAAUAAUUGUCGAUAAUUUAUACUUUUCGGGCGAUACGUCGAAGCGUUUUUAUUAAUCUUCCACGGCGAGACACAGCGGUUUAUUAUCAUGCGUCUGCAUAGUGCUCGCGGUGAUAGCGCGUGCAAAUAUUUCUUGGCAAAUGAAACUCGUUGCCCGCGUAUACGAAAAGCUUUCGCGGACGCGAGCGUAGUCAUAGCCGUUUUUAAUUAAACUCCCGCGCUGUGAAACGCUGCAGCGACUACGUGGUGCAACGCGUUCGUUAACCGCGCGUAAACUUCGACGGGAGGCGGAGUCGCACCACCGAAAACUUGGUAUUUCCGCGCGCGGACGAGAGGAAUUAUUCAUCGCGAUAUUUCGCGCGAGAUCCCCCAUUAAAAAUGAAUCCCCGCCUCUCCCUCUCCCCGAGCGAGCGAGGAAGCGACCUAUCGUCGCGCAUAUUUUACUAUGCGCGCUUUAAUUACCGAGUGCCGGUCCGCCAAAAGCGACGAAAAUGUAAACAGAGGCCGAUGUAAUUCGAUUCGCCUGGCACAAAUAUUUGUGGCCGUGUAACGCGCCACGCCGUUACGCGCGACUCGAGUCAACGGGCCGCGUUACCGGAACUGCGUAGUGCCCUGCCGCGUGUGUGUGUGUGUGUGUGUGUGUGUGUGUGUGUGUGUGUGUGUACUACGCGCGUGGGGUUAAACCGGCUGCAGAAUGCAUCCGGAACCGCUGCGGGUCAGUUACGUGAAAACGAUCCGCCGCCCCUGCCGUACAUCGCGUUUCGGCAGAGAUAGGUCUCUCGACGUGGACGGUGCCAUUUUCGUUGUCGACGCAGGGUUACCGAGGUGCUUCAUCGAUGGUACGAGAGUUGCGGAACAGCUGGAUCCUCGCGAGGCUUCUUUGAUACGCGGCGACGUCAAUUGACAAAAAAAAAAAAGAAGAAGAGAGACAGCACCAACAUCGCUACCCUUGACAACGAUCGUUAACUCUUGUUCUGCGAUGACCUCGAGCCAUUUGCGCUUUAGCCGUCGUCCGUGCACGCCGACUGAUUUCAGGUUUCUUCGUUGACGAAUCUCACUUUUGUCCCUCGGAAAGGGAGGGCGUCAAUUACGACGUAACGAGUGGCACACGACAUUCGAGUAAUUGUUCGCGCGUUGCGAUAUCAAUUCUACGAAUUUUCACGGUGAAUUAAAUACCCAUGAGAUGUUAUCUUUUCCCUCGCACCUGGCAAAACGACGUUCAGGGUUAAGCAAGCGCAGCCAUCGGUCAACACUUCUUUCAGCCACUUCUCAACAGCUGGGGAAGCAAUUAAACGGCAUUAGAAGGCAAAGGAAGAGGGAAAAAAAAAGAAGCAGUAGUACAUUGGAAGUCCGGCGGGAGAUCGACGCGGCAGAGACAGGCUGGUGGUGGUAUAGUGGACUCGUGUCAGAUGUUAAUUAAGGCCAAGGAGCGGAAAACGCUGGUCUCUCCUGCGAAGGGUGUCGCAAGCCAAGAAACGGUCGGUCUUUCCGCCCCACCACCUGGCUGGCCUACCAUUACCAUCGGCGGCGGUGGAUAUGCCGGGGAGAGCGUGUGCCAGGAUUUUUAUCCUGCGGGAAUUACGACGGCUUUACAGCCUACCGGUUGUCCGUCGUUAUGAGGUGGCCUAUGCUCGGAUUGCGAUUACCACUCGGUUGGCUCUUGGCCACCGAGUUGGCGAUUGCCUAGCUGUGGGCCUGGCGGUGGGGCAUUUAAAAAAAGAGAGAGAGAAGAAACGAGAAGGCAGGUCAGGAACACCGCGGAGCAAUUGCGUCACGGAAAUCGAUGCUCCGCCACGACACCGUUUCAACUACCAGCCAAACAGAAUUGGGCUAAACGGUCGUAUGAUGGACGUAACGGUCGAGGAUGAUGAUUGCAGAGCGUCACGGGCAUGUAACCCAUUUAACGUCGCAACACUGACAUUGAUCAUCAUAAUCGUGAUCUUGGUAUGCGUUGACGCCAAAUUGCGAAUUAAUUCAAUGCCAAGCACGAGGGAAACGAAUAUUUUAUAUAGUGACGUAAUUCCUACAAGAAAGUAAGAAAAUAUUGCUCAUAUAUCGUUGUGUUUUAAUUCUCUGUAAAAAAAAAUGCGACUAUCACGCGCUUGUAUCGUAUCAAUCAUUAAACAUUGUAACAGCAAAGACACAUAAUUACAAGUAUCGGGUGAUCAAAUUGAUUUAAGUCCGGCAGCAUGGCAGCCUUGAUUUUAAGUACACCGUGAUAGCAGGUUCAAUAAUGAUCGAGCUACGGCGUACUUGACGAUGCCUAUACGACUUACACGCGCGCGCGCCGAUCAAAACAACUCAUUUAUUAAUGAUCGAAAUCAUAAUUAGCGGUACGGGUAAUUGGCGAUCGAUUAUCGAAGCCGGCGACGCCGCUCGAUGUCGCCAAUCUUCAUCUCCGGACUCGCCAAUCUCCCAGAUUCAUCGUCGAUGCUUGCGAAACUCGUCGCGCGGCGGUGGCGGUGACGGUUGCGACGCGCUAGGAUUUACCGAGCCAUGAAAAUCGAACGACAAUUUUUUCCCCGCGAGUCGAGACUCGCGAGGCUGCGGCGGCGGCGCGAGUAGUAACGACGAUCCAAGUAUAGGACGAUAAACUCUCUCGAGCAUAUACACGACGCCGUGCAAAAUGCCAGCGACUCCGUAGGCGAUCUCUGAUGCAAUAUUUCCCUCCCUCCUCUGUCUCUUUCCUGUCGCAUGUGCGCGCUCUCGCUCGCACUUUCGAUUCCGCCACGCGUACGAUUGCCACUGGCGUCGCAAUUGCAGCUGCUAAUAAUUCGGAUAAAUAAUGUAAUAACCUUUAUCUAUACAGUCUUCAAUUACAUCGGUACUUUUCUCUCGUGUGAUUAGGCAAUGCUUUUCCACGGAAACAUAUUUUCCUUCGUAAAUCGGUCAGCGACACCGAGAUUCGGGAUUCUAUCUGGAAACACGCGUUUCGCCGUUACCAACGCAAAGUCGAACGCGCAUCGGGGAGAAUUCAAUCCGUGGGGUCUCCCUGAGGAAGCGUCCGCCUAAACUUACAGGUGCCGGGAAUACACCCGCAACGUCGUUCCUGUAAAUUGAAGCUGCGUCCGUGACGCCUCGCUGCCGCUAGGAAAAAGCCAUUCACGGGGCGCGGGCAAACAAUAGUGUUGUCGCCGGGGAUUCCUUGAUUCCUCCUCCGUCCUCGCUAUUUUUCCGGCGACGGGCAACGUUCGCCGUAUUUGACUUGGUAAUGCUAAGGGUCUCGUACGGCCACUCGUCUUUUCUCCGUCUUCCUCGCUCGUUCCUCCUCCUUCCGCCAGCCCCUCGCUCCGACGCCGACAGGCGCCCACGCGUAGUGGUAGGUCCUGUUAUCGUCUCCUCUCCUUAUCCUAGGACAACGCGCGUUGUCGCCCGGAACGAAGAAGUCUCCCGGGGAAGGCGCCGCGACCAGCGCGCGCGAAACGAUACGACGACGGCGGUUUUGAUAUCCCCGCGAAAUGGCGCACUCCGCAUUUUCCCAUUUCGAGCUCCCGCCGUCGGGAACACGCCGGAUUGCCCAAUUGCAAUCGCGACUCUUCACCCGCGGCUCUCAUCUUUCUCUCUUUCUCUCUUACGUUGGUGGUUCCUCUCUCGCGUGCUUAGUUUGUACACUGACCUUCCCCAAGGCCUUAUCUGCCGCCAGGAAACGCUAUGAACGGGGGGGAGGGAGGACUUUAUGCGAGCAUUACACUUGCGAUCUUUGCCGUCGAAAUCGUCGCGAUUGUCGUACGCGCGCGUUUUACGAGCGGAAGCUCCCAGGCGUUCCUGGAUGUCCCGGAAAUUGAAUACCUACGAUAGUAUGGAGGAGUUUGAGUUUACCACGCCGUAACGCGAUACUAAGAUGGGGAAUAACCACGCGAAUAAUUGCGACGGUUUGGUAUCAAAUUCGUAUUGGACUUUGCUGUCGUUUUGCCGCGUUCGACGACGGAUUGAUUUCGAACGACGUUUCCACCUCGACGAACAGAUACACGCCCGGUCCCAUCGACUUUAAUGCGAUUGAGUCAUUCGGGGAUUCGCGCGCGGUAUACAAAUUAUUCGGUAUACUAACUACCCUUUGCACAAGAGUGCCGCUCGAGUCUAACAAACUCCGCUGAAUAUUCAUGUGCACGAUAUUUUACAAAAAUACACAUCCAGAGGUGUAUCGUUGGCCGCGCGGAUGCGCUUUCCAUGUCGGAUACGCUACCAUAAAUAUUUACAUUGACGAGUUACGGCUGCGUUAAUGCCAAUUGUAAAAUCACGGAUAUGCCGAUGGUAACUCGCGUCUUUUCGGUGAGACAUUUGUCGGCGGCGAAAGGAGGAAGUGCGACGCGCCUCGCCGUUUCGAGGACAAUGGAGAUUCCAGGCGGCGAGAAAGAAAUAUUCCGCAAAGUCUGCCCGUUGUCUUCGACUUGCGCCUCGACGAGCAUGUAUACGAGCGCCGACUAGCUCCUAUUACUUUUACUGGCCUUGCGAGCACGACGCGUAAGUAAACUUCACUUUACCCGACGAUGCGUUCCAUUGGCUCCGAGGUGCACACUUCAGAAACUUCUUCUGCGAUUCUUAGAUAUCACGCCGUUCAACACGAGCGCAUUUUGAGCAAAUAAAAAAAAAAAAUAAUAAACGCAUCCGUUCAGUUUAUUUCAAUAUUCAUGAUGCAAUACGUAAGCAAACUUGAUACACGUAUAUUAAUUAAUAAAACUUUUUUUUCUUCAUUCUUACAUCGUGUUUUUAAAAAGUCUUUUCUUUUUUGUAUUUCUAUGCAACGUACGAAGAACAUUCACUGUGAUUUGAUGAAAAUAGCAGCGAUGUGUCCACUGUCCGCACGUGCGCCGUCCACGCACGUGUGUGUAAGGGCUGCAAGUAAUAAAAUAAAUAGAUAAUCUAGGGUCCCCCGCAAUAAGAAAGUACCGUUGGCUACGCCGCGGCGGGAGUUAUGUCGCAUCGUGAAUAAUGUCAAGGAAGAGAGAAGAACGUAGGCAAAAAGAUAUAACAGGCGAGAAGGUAAUGCGAUGAACAGCGCGCGCGGCAUCAGCUCGGCCGUUAGUUUAUUGUCACGUUGUGGCAGUUGCACUAUGAAAGUAUCGCAAUAACGCGACUCGGUUAUGGCUGUGCACUGACGCGGAGCCUUCAAGGUCAGCGCAAUCAUCUCCCUCGUUCUCGCCAGCAGGUCCGAAUUUUUUUCGCGCGCCCGCGCGCGUGGUAAUGCGAAAUACGCGAAUACAACCUAUCAUUGGGUGGAGGAGGAGGCGGGGCAAGAGGGGACUCGCUGAAUUUAUGCGGUGGUUGCAAAAAAAAAAAAAAAAAAAAACAACGGCGAUCCGGCCGCGGCUCGAUUUUCCAUCUGAUAACGAUCUAACGGAUGCUACGGCGCUCGGUUUAAUGCGGUAUCUGUCACGAUCGUUAUCACCGGUUAACGAGCGAGCGCGUCGUACACUUAUAUUCAGCGCUCUUAUGUUAUUACGUAAUGAUUUAGCAACGUAAUCGCUAGUGAUAACACACUUUUUUCCGACGCACUCCGGUUUGAUGCGAUCCAAGCGCAGAGAAGAGCAGGCAAGCUACCGGAGUUACUCCGAAGCUCCGUCUCUCCGACGUACGACGCAAUAACCCGCGAUCGCGACGAAAACGUGCAAAAUAAACGGCGAAACGUCCAAUAUCGAGAAACCGUAUUCCCGGGUUAUUGCAACUUGUGCUCGAACGAAAGCGCAAAAAUAAUUUAGUUCGCGCGGGGUUAAGGGGUUUAUGAUAAUUUAAAACCGGUAUAGUCGCGGCAAGAGCUGCGCCGCGAGAGACCCGGCCCGGCUCCGUUUAGGCGGGACGUUCGCGAGGCAACGGGAUUAUACUUCGUUUCAGGUGAAACGUUCUUCCGUGCCGGGAAUCAUUCGAUUCGCCCGAUACCGGGGACCGGUGUGUCGCUAUUCGGACCGGUGCUCUCGAAUACGAGAGAUCGUCGUCUCGUAAUCGUGCGUUCGCGCCGAUCCGAUACGUUGCGGCGUGCCGUCGCUGAAAAACUCGUUGACGCGACUGUACAGGGUCGUGCAAGCUCGGACACGUUUUCCUAACUUCCUCCCUCACCCGUCCCGGUCCUCGUCCUCCUCUCCUCACGACGACGACAAAAAAAAGAAAACGUCCUCUCCCGCGCGUUCCAUGACUCCCCACGAUUCGGCGCCGAAUCGUACGCAAGUCCGUUGCACCGUGAGCAGAACUUUUUGCAUAAUUUCUGUCGGAAAUCUUUGCAUAACCACGAUCGCAUCCAGAUGCGACGUGGCGAGCACCACUUAACGGCCGAGAGAGCCGGCUAGGAUAUAAUAUUUAUAGACCUGCCUGGACCCUUUUCUCGACGUCAAGUGUGGCUACGGUGUUCUCAUUUAAAUGCAAUCGUUUUACAUUUUCGUAAAUUAAUUAACAUUACUGCGUGAACGGAAUAGGCGGGAUAAACAGCAUUGACCUCUUGAACCGUUGCACCAGAUGAUCGUCAGUCAACCCAAGAUGGUUUAUUGUUCGUCUGUACUUUUUUAUCAGGUCUUCAACUUAAUUUGUUUAUUUCCACGUGGAUUUGUGAUGCAGAUGUUAAGUCCUACGUACAACAAGAAGUUACUCCGCUAUUGAAAAAGGGGAACGGAUUGAGCAACCGGAUUUAUAAUUCGCAAUCGUUUGCUAAAAUAACAGAGACAGCGGUAGUGUUUAUUUUCCUGAAGAGUCUACUUUUCCUCGCGACGUAGUUUAGAAAUCCGCCGUUUCGCUUUUCAUCGACGUCGGUCGAUCUUGUCGAUGGUACGUACAUAUCGUUUUGUUAUGGUCAGAAUUCUUGGCAGGUAGUGUACCGGGUCGUGCAGGCUGGGACACGUUUUCCUAACUCCUCUCUCCCCGUUCCCUACCCGUGGCCUCUACCACCUCCGCCGCCCUCUCUUCUCUCCUGACCCCUUCUUUUUAUCGUCCCUUUCCCUUCUUCGUCCCUCUCUUUAUCUCCCCGCGGAGAGUGCGGUGCAACGAGGACGAAGGAACCAGAGGGACGCUGCGGGGCAGACCCGUAUAGGAAAGAGACGGCAGAAAGAAGUUGAAGCGAGUAAGCGAACUCUCGGGGUACUCUCUGUCUCCCUUUCCCUCUUCCUCACCUCCUCGGGACAGUGGACGAGCGGAGCAUUAUAACUUGAACCGCGUCCCUCUCUCCUUCACGCUGCACAGCCUUUCUUUCCCUCCGUCGCUGCCCUCACCUACUCUCCCUCCUGCCUCGCCGCUCUCUUUCUCUCUUUCUCUCUCUCUCUCUCUCUCUCUCUCUCUCUCUUUCUCUUUCUCGCUCCUUCUUCUCCCCUUUCGUCCAUCAGGCCACUCUUGCCUCCUGCACGUACCUCCUUUCCUCCCCGCCGCCGCAGCAUCACGACGAGAUGCAGGGACACGCGGCCCCGCUUCUCGCGAGUAAAACCGUCCUUGAUCCCCGGGCCACGCUCCAUACGAUACGAGAGAGGCACGGAGAGGCUCCUCUACUCUCCGACUCUCCCUCUUGUUCAGCACGUGGUCACCACUGACGUCACGAGGCGCACUGCUCGACCGCGAGCGUCGUCACGAAGAGAGGCUUAAGCUGGUUCCACAGCGCGACUCGCGCGUUCGAUUAUCAUUAAAUUUUCGCUUGCGAGAAAUUGAUCAAUCUUCAACUUGCUAGCGAAUAUUUUACCUGCUAUUAUAAAAUACGCGUUAAUUGACUCUAGAAAAAAAUACUUAACAAAUUUAGGUAUGUCGUUGAAAUGAUACAAUAAAGUUUGGGGAUGGAGAGAAACUCGAAUAAUGAUGUAAAUUAAUAUGAAUUUGACAUCGGGCAGACAUCAAGUACGCCACAUAAAUACGCAUUACUGCAUACUGUCACGGGAUGCGUAUCGUUACGCGAUCUCCAGUGUGUUGUUACAUGCGCAACCGAUAAUUAUCCCAACAGCGUAAUGGCAAUAAUUCCUGACGGGGUGACGCGCGGUGUAUUUGCGACUUCUCAGAGUAAGCUGUUGCGGUAAUCACUUGGAUUGGAUUUUUCUGCGUCACAUUGGAAAACGCGGGAAGAGAGUGUAAUAAUUGCACUUUUUUUCCCCCCCCUUUACGUAAUACAAAACCCAGCGCGGUUUGCCGUUAACUUACACAUCAACUUCGAAAGAUGAAUUAUUCAAAACUCGCGUGCCGUAAAAAAAAGAGAGAAUUGCGGGAUAAUUUUUAAUACCGAUUGGAAAUCUGACACAGGUGUCGUUUGACUUCGUAUUACAUAAUACCGAGUCGCACCGAUAAUAACAUGUCGAAUAUAACUGGUCCGUUUUACGUGAUGUUCGAUUAUUAUUUUUUUUUUUAUAUCAAUAAAGGUUUUGCUUG